rfam:Pteropus alecto contig100447, whole genome shotgun sequence.
GUCUAUGGCCAUGCCACCCUGAACAAGCCCGAUCCCGUCUGAUCUCGGAAGCUAAGCAGGGUCAGGCCUGGUUAGUACUUGGAAGGGAGACCACCCAGGAAGACCAGGUACUGUAGGCG